rnacentral:rRNA from 1 species
UACGAAGGGGGCUAGCGUUGUUCGGAUUUACUGGGCGUAAAGCGCACGUAGGCGGAUCUUUAAGUCAGAGGUGAAAUCCCAAGGCUCAACCUUGGAACUGCCUUUGAUACUGGGGAUCUCGAGUUCGGGAGAGGUGAGUGGAACUGCGAGUGUAGAGGUGAAAUUCGUAGAUAUUCGCAAGAACACCAGUGGCGAAGGCGGCUCACUGGCCCGGUGCUGACGCUGAGGUGCGAAAGCGUGGGGAGCAAACAGG